AACGCACAUUGCGCCCGCCAGUAUUCUGGCGGGCAUGCCUGUCCGAGCGUCAUUUCAACCCUCGAACCCCUCCGGGGGGUCGGCGUUGGGGAUCGGCCCUUCACGGGGCCGGCCCCGAAAUACAGUGGCGGUCUCGCCGCAGCCUCUCCUGCGCAGUAGUUUGCACACUCGCAUCGGGAGCGCGGCGCGUCCAUUGCCGUAAAACACCCAACUUUCUGAAAUGUUGACCUCGGAUCAGGUAGGAAUACCCGCUGAACUUAA
rnacentral:misc_RNA from 1 species